AAACUUACUCUAGUAUCUUACAAUGCUCCUCUACUUACUUUAUUUGUUCUUUACAUGUUCUUUGACUUUUAUUUUCAAAUAUUCAUGCAAAUGCCUUGUGAAUCAGAGAAAGGUUGUAAAUGAAUACUGUAUUCUCAUUCAAGUUAGCACCAAAGAGUGUAGGCAGUUUCUGUGAGCUGGGCCACUGAUAUUCUAGCCUAACAUAUGAUUUGGAAAAU
rfam:Monodelphis domestica chromosome 7, whole genome shotgun sequence.